rnacentral:rRNA from 1 species
CCAAUAGCGUAUAUUAAAGUUGUUGCAGUUAAAAAGCUCGUAGUUGAAUUUCGGGAUCAGUACGCUGGUCGUGCCUUCGGUAUGUACUGGUGUUACUGGUUCCUACCUUCUGACGAACCAUCAUGUCAUUAAUUUGGUGUGGCGGGGAAUCAGGACUGUUACUUUGAAAAAAUUAGAGUGUUUAAAGCAGGCUCGCGCUUGAAUACAUUAGCAAUGAAUAAUGAAAUAGGACGUUCGAUCCUAUUUUGUUGGUUUCUAGGAUUGACGUAAUGAUUAAUAGGGAUAGUUGGGGGCAUUAGUAUUCAAUUGUCAGAGGUGAAAUUCUUGGAUUUAUUGAAGACUAACUACUGCGAAAGCAUUUGCCAAGGAUGUUUUCAUUAAUCAAGAACGAAAGUUAGGGGAUCGAAGACGAUCAGAUACCGUCGUAGUCUUAACCAUAAACUAUGCCGACUAGGGAUCGGAUGAUGUUAAUUUUUUAAUGACUCAUUCGGCGCCUUACG